rnacentral:rRNA from 1 species
UUGAACGCUGGCGGCAGGCCUAACACAUGCAAGUCGAGCGGAUGAAGGGAGCUUGCUCCUGGAUUCAGCGGCGGACGGGUGAGUAAUGCCUAGGAAUCUGCCUGGUAGUGGGGGAUAACGUCCGGAAGCGGGCGCUAAUACCGCAUACGUCCUGAGGGAGAAAGUGGGGAUCUUCGGACCUCACGCUAUCAGAUGAGCCUAGGUCGGAUUAGCUAGUUGGUGGGGUAAAGGCCUACCAAGGCGACGAUCCGUAACUG